GACGAACGCUGGCGGCGUGCUUAACACAUGCAAGUCGAACGGAAAGGCCCUGCUUUUGUGGGGUGCUCGAGUUGCGAACGGGUGAGUAACACGUGAGUAACCUGCCCUUGCCUUUGGGAUAACUUCAUGAAACUUGGGCUAAUACCGGAUAGGAGUUCCUGCUUCAUGGUGGGGGUUGGAAAGUUUCGGCGGUUGGGGGUGGACUCGCGGCUUAUCGGCUUGUUGGUGGGGUAGUGGCUUACCAAGGCUUUGACCGGUAGCCGGCCUGCGAGGGUGACCGGCCAAAUUGGGACGGGGAUACGACACAGACUACUACGGGAGGGAGCAGAGGAGAAGGUUGCACUAUGGGAGGAAGCAUGAUGCAGCAACGCAGCGUGCGGGAUGACGGCAAGCGGGUUGGAAACCGAUUUCGCCUGAGACGAAGCGUGAGUGACGGUAAUGGGUAAAGAAGCACCGGCUAACUACGUG
rnacentral:rRNA from 1 species